rnacentral:rRNA from 1 species
UACGGAGGGUGCGAGCGUUGUCCGGAAUCACUGGGCGUAAAGGGCGCGUAGGCGGCCUGAUAAGUAGGGGGUGAAAUCCUGCGGCUUAACCGCAGGGCUGCCUUCUAAACUGUCAGGCUAGAGCACAGUAGAGGCAGGUGGAAUUCCCGGUGUAGCGGUGGAAUGCGUAGAGAUCGUGAGGAAGACCAGUGGCGAAGGCGGGUCUCUGGACAGUUCCUGACACUGAGGCACGAAGGCCAGGGGAGCAAACGGG